GACGAACGCUGGCGGCGUGCUUAACACAUGCAAGUCGAACGGUGAAGCGCCUUCCUUUUUGGUGGGUGUGGAUGGGUGGCGAACGGGUGAGUAACACGUGAGUAACCUGCCCCCUUCUUCUGGAUAACCGCAUGAAAGUGUGGCUAAUACGGGAUAUUCUGGGUCUGUCGCAUGAUGGGUCUGGGAAAGAUAUUGUUUCGGUGGGGGAUGGGCUCGCGGCCUAUCAGCUUGUUGGUGGGGUGAUGGCCUACCAAGGCGGUGACGGGUAGCCGGCCUGAGAGGGUGGACGGUCACACUGGGACUGAGACACGGCGCAGACUCCGACGGGAGGCAGCAGUGGGGAAUAUUGCACAAUGGGCGCAAGGCUGAUGCAGCGACGCCGCGUGAGGGAUGGAGGCCUUCGGGUUGUGAACCUCUUUCGCCAGUGAAGCAGGCCUGCCUCGUUUGUGGGUGGGUUGACGGUAGCUGGAGAAGAAGCGCCGGCUAACUACGUG
rnacentral:rRNA from 1 species